rnacentral:rRNA from 1 species
UACGUAGGGUGCGAGCGUUGUCCGGAUUUAUUGGGCGUAAAGAGCUUGUAGGUGGCUCGUUGCGUCGGGAGUGAAAACCUGCGGCUUAACCGCAGGCCUGCUUCCGAUACGGGCGAGCUAGAGUUCGGCAGGGGAGACUGGAAUUCCUGGUGUAGCGGUGGAAUGCGCAGAUAUCAGGAGGAACACCGGUGGCGAAGGCGGGUCUCUGGGCCGAUACUGACACUGAGAAGCGAAAGCGUGGGGAGCGAACAGG